GGGUUGACGGCGUGGUGGGCGCUGGCCGGUUACGGACCGGCCGUCUCCCAGCCCUCCGAGGAGGCUGUUCCACGAUGACCGUCACCCCUCC
rnacentral:tRNA from 1 species